rnacentral:rRNA from 1 species
UACGGGGGGGGCAAGCGUUGUUCGGAAUUACUGGGCGUAAAGGGUUCGUAGGUUGCCAACUAAGUCAGACGUGAAAUCCCUCAGCUUAACUGGGGAACUGCGUCUGAGACUGGAUGGCUUGAGUGCAGGAGAGGAACGCGGAAUUCCAGGUGUAGCGGUGAAAUGCGUAGAUAUCUGGAGGAACACCGGUGGCGAAGGCGGCGUUCUGGACUGCAACUGACACUGAGGAACGAAAGCCAGGGGAGCAAACGGG